AAUAUAUGUAUGCACGAGAAAACACCCUCCCCCCUAACGGCUACGAGGGUCAAAGCUCAGCUUUGAUCCACCACCGGGAUACGUUAUAGACUUUUUAUUGGAUUUUGAGUUAGGCUUAUAUCUAUCUCCCGCCUACGGUUGCAAGCGUGAGGUUGUAAAGCUCCCUAGGUUGUUUCGAGAAAGUGUCCGGUAAGCCUUGCCUUAUUAGCAGCAAAAAAGUAACUACCAGUGAGGGGGCUAUUGGCUAUAGCCCCCGAGCGUAACUGCUGGAUAGUUUAUAGGGUGCGCGAAGCCCACCUCUCGUAUUUUUAAAGGAGGAGGGAGGCGGGUCCUUAGCGACACCCAGAUAGAGUGAAAAGAGGAAGAGUGAGGGGGCUAUUGGAGAUAGCACCCGAACGUUAACUUCAUAGCUCUAUAUUAGUAUCUUAUAGAACUACUUAGAACUACUGAGUUUAUUGUCCGGUAAGCCUCCCCGAGGGAGGUAUGGAGGGGUAACGUUCCUAGUGUAGUUAUAGUGUUGUUACCCUCUUGUUUGCACGAAAUUUCAUAUAUGCCUCCCCGAGGGAGGUAUGGAGGGGUAACGUUCCUAUGAUAAGCCUCCCCGAGGGAGGUAUGGAGGGGUAACGUACCUUCUUGCCUUGCGCUUGCGCAAGGGAAAAACCAAUAAAAAAAUUUAGAAAUUUUUUAUUUGAGUCUAUAAUGUAUCAUUUGUUGUAUCCCGUAUGGAGCCAUCUUCUUCGCCCGACAUGCGCUACAAGUAUCCCUACUUGGUCGGCCACCGGUG
rnacentral:lncRNA from 1 species